rnacentral:rRNA from 1 species
UCCGGAAUCACUGGCGUAAAGGGUGCGUAGGCGGCUUAGCAAGCCAGGGGUGAAAGGCAUUGGCUCAACCAAUGUAAGCCUUUGGAACUGUUAAGCUUGAGUGCAGGAGAGGUAAGUGGAAUUCCUAGUGUAGAGGUGAAAUUCGUAGAUAUUAGGAGGAACACCAGUGGCGAAGGCGACUUACUGGACUGUAACUGACGCUGAUGCACGAAAGCGUGGGUAGCGAACAGGAUUAGAUACCCUGGUAG